rnacentral:rRNA from 1 species
AGUGAACGCUGGCGGUAGGCCUAACACAUGCAAGUCGAACGGCAGCACAGUAAGAGCUUGCUCUUACGGGUGGCGAGUGGCGGACGGGUGAGGAAUACAUCGGAAUCUACUUUUUCGUGGGGGAUAACGUAGGGAAACUUACGCUAAUACCGCAUACGACCUACGGGUGAAAGCAGGGGAUCUUCGGACCUUGCGCGAUUGAAUGAGCCGAUGUCGGAUUAGCUAGUUGGCGGGGUAAAGGCCCACCAAGGCGACGAUCCGUAGCUGGUCUGAGAGGAUGAUCAGCCACACUGGAACUGAGACACGGUCCAGACUCCUACGGGAGUCAGCAGUGGGGAAUAUUGGACAAUGGGCGAAAGCCUGAUCCAGCCAUACCGCGUGGGUGAAGAAGGCCUUCGGGUUGUAAAGCCCUUUUGUUGGGAAAGAAAAGCAGCAGGUUAAUACCCCGCUGUUCUGACGGUACCCAAAGAAUAAGCACCGGCUAACUUCGUG